rnacentral:rRNA from 1 species
UUUCCUACGGGAGGCAGCAGUGGGGAAUAUUGGACAAUGGGCGCAAGCCUGAUCCAGCAAUGCCGCGUGUGUGAAGAAGGCCUGCGGGUUGUAAAGCACUUUCAGUAGGGAGGACAAGUAGCGGGUUAAUAUCCCGUUACCGUGACGUUACCUACAGAAGAAGCACCGGCUAACUCUGUGCCAGCAGCCGCGGUAAUACGGAGGGGGUUAGCGUUGUUCGGAAUUAUUGGGCGUAAAGAGCAUGUAGGCGGCUCGCCAAGUCUGAUGUGAAAGCCCUGGGCUCAACCCAGGAAGUGCAUUGGAAACUGGCGAACUUGAGUACGGGAGAGGAAAGUGGAAUUUCGAGUGUAGGGGUGAAAUCCGUAGAUAUUCGAAGGAACACCAGUGGCGAAGGCGGCUUUCUGGACCGAUACUGACGCUGAGAUGCGAAAGCGUGGGGAGCAAACAGGAUUAGAUACCCUGGUAGUCCACGCCGUAAACGAUGGGUACUAGGUGUUGCGGGUAUUGACCCCUGCAGUGCCAAAGCUAACGCAUUAAGUACCCCGCCUGGGGAGUACGGCCGCAAGGCUAAAACUCAAAUGAAUUGACGGAA